UACGAAGGGGGCUAGCGUUGCUCGGAAUCACUGGGCGUAAAGCGCACGUAGGCGGACUCUUAAGUCGGUGGUGAAAUCCUGGAGCUCAACUCCAGAACUGCCUUCGAUACUGAGAGUCUUGAGUCCGGGGGAGGUGAGUGGAACUGCGAGUGUAGAGGUGAAAUUCGUAGAUAUUCGCAAGAACACCAGUGGCGAAGGCGGCUCACUGGCCCGGUACUGACGCUGAGGUGCGAAAGCGUGGGGAGCAAACAGG
rnacentral:rRNA from 1 species